UAGAUACCCACAACCUAACUCAUCAAGUUGAAGAAAAGUAAACCAGGUCGAAAAGUAUCAAUAUUAAAAAUGGUUCAUGGAUCUUCUAGGUUCAACUUAGCGCCUUCCAAACCCAAUGCAACGGUCUCUGCUUGACCUCUCGUUUCUUUAGUUAACGUAAUAACUUGAUAAUAAUUUUAUUUUACUCUGACCCUAUUUAUGCUCUAUGCUCUAUUUAUGCUCU
rnacentral:misc_RNA from 1 species